AAAGCCGAAAAAUUUAUUUAUUUUGAAAGAGUUCGAUUAUCUCGGGUGUAGGGCCCAAAUUUUGCCCGAGCCCGCAUAAAUAAAAAUGAAUAUAAAUUCAAAGUCUCAUAAACAGCCCAAAUCAACCUAGCCCAAAACCCUCUCUAAACCCGGUCCUAAGCCCAGCAAACCAACUCGGCCCAAUGCUAUGGCCCGAUUUUAAGAAAAUUCCAGAAAACACUUAGGGUUCCUGAAACCCUUUUGCGCCGCAAUCCAGGUUCUGCUUCGCGCGUGCUGCGCCACUGCCAAGCAUCGGCCUCCCCCACGCGCCUUUGUACACUCAAGCUGGACUUCUCCGUACCUGCAGUAAACAACAAGUCGACAGCAAAAUGGAACAAAAACAGCAAAAGAAGCCAGCAGAGAUAAAAAGGAAAGAAAUAAUGGAAAAAAGAAAAAAAAAACAUUUUGUAAUAUACGGUAAUAUAAAAGGCCGAUGGAUUCAUUCUUGUAAGGUUACGCAUUCAAUAUACGCAGAAAUAUUCAGAAUACAAAUAAAAUAUCAAGAGGUGAUUCCGAGUUUUCUUUUUUAGUAUUAGUUUCUUUUUCUUUUCUUUUCGUGUUCAUUAGGUAUUAUUUAGGAGAAUAAUCAGUAAGUGAAGAGGAAUUUACCUGGUGACCUCGUCCUCUUUCCUUCCGUCGUCAUCGGAGUGGAGUGGGGACUCGGAGGGACUGAGAGGCUGGUUCGUCGAGCGGCGCAGGGUAAACUUAGGUUUAGUUUUUUUUUCGUUUUAAAGAUGGAAAUGUUUAGUUUUUAGGGUAUUUUAGUUUUAAACCUGGGGAUUAGAACGUCGCCGUUUUGUAGCUAACAUCAUAGCUUCAAAGCAACGUCGUUUGACGAAAGGAUCCAGGCGGUGACCCGACCCGGGGCAGGAUCCGCGCAUGCUGGACUGAUUGGACUAUUUUCCAGAUAGGUCCCUGUUUGUUUCCUGCAAUUACGAUUUGAUUCUUUAAUUACUUGUAAUCUGUACUGCAUAUUUGAUUUAGUUUACAUUUAGCCCCAAAUCUAGACGGUACCGUUUUGUGGAUAACUGAGAUUAUUUUGAUACUUGUAUUUUAUUGCUGGAUCGGUCCCUCCAUUUUAGAAUAAAUUUUGAUUUAAUACAAAUUUACUUUUAUUUAUUUCAACAAUUUUUCUUCAUAUAUAUAACUAAUCCUAUUUUCAUAUAUCAUAGAUUUUAAUAUUACUUAUACUAUUUAGUUUUAAUAAUGUCUAAAAUUUAUUAUUAAUAUAGUUUAAAAUAUAACCAAUUAUUAUUUUGGCUCGUAUCUUGCACUUUAAAUUCAUUUUACAUUAUUACUUAAAGUUUAUCGUGUUUUAUUUAAUUUUGUUUUCUCUUAUUGUAUUAAUUUUAUUUAAACUUUGAUUUAAAGUGGUCGACUAUUGUUUUCAAUUUCAAAAUGUUUUGUUUACAUUCAAUUUUGAUUUUUUUAAAAAAACUUUAGAUAAAUUAAUUAACAUUUCAAUUCAUCAUUUUUCACCUUAUUUUAUUAUUAGGUUCAUUAUCUAUUAUUUUCAUUUUAUUUAAAUAAAAGUGUCCUUCGGAAUUUGAUUACCGAUUUAUUAGAUGUCUAAUUAUUAAUAUGGAUGAAUUAUAUGUUUGGUUGCUUUUAAUGUAAAUUUAGAUUACUAUUUAUCCUUUGUGUUAUAUGUUGCUAUUAGUUUGUAUCGUUUGUAAAAACUGCUUUUCAUUAAAGCAUUCUAAUCGUUUCAUUUUAAAAUUCAAAAAGGGGCUUGAUGUUAAAUAAUUCUCGAGAGAAUUGUGCCCUAACUUACUGGGCUUCAACUCUUCUCAAUGAGUUUAUAUCAUCAAGUGUCUAUUUCUAAGACGUACUUUAAAAAAAAAUUCUUUAGAUUUCAAAAUGUUGAAUCCUAACUUAUUGGGUAUGACAUUUUGUUAUCUCGUUUUAAAUAAAAGAAAUAUUUGGUGUUUAGGAAUUUCAAGAAAAUUGAACCCUAACUUACUGGGUUUUGGUUUCCCGAAUGAUCUAAAUAGCCAAAUAUUCUUCUCAAAAUGUAUGAUUUUUUAAGAAAAAGGGUUGAAUCCAACUUCAAAGAUUGAAUCGUUGUGCUCUAACUCAAUGAGUGCGACAAUUCGUCUCUUUAAAAUAGAUAAGUCUCGUUUUUCAAUUCGAUUAUUAAAAUUUUAUUUUCAAAGGAUUGCAUUCUAAUUUUUAAGUUCUCGACACUAAGAUGUUAAACAACUGAUACGUUACCAAUGUUGGGCGUCACGAGGGUGCUAACCCUUCUCGUACGUAAAUGACUCCCGAACCCGUUUUCUCAACUUCGUAGACCAAAAUCAUUUUAAUGGUGAAUCGAUCACACCUUAAUAAAAGAUCGGUGGCGACUCCUAUUUUCAUUUUUUAAAGUCGAUCUCCGUUUUUCCAAAAGUUUAAAAAUGGUUUUGACAUCGGGUUUAGAAAAAAGAUCAUAUCCCGUGAGUUAGAACACGAUCUUUUGUUAAUUCCCGAGAACAUUUAAAAACUUUGUUUGAAAUGAUUCGUGUAUUUGAAUUUUUCGAGAAAGUCGAAACCCAAUAAGUUAGGGUACGACUUUCUUGAGUUUCUAAAUACAGAAUGUUGCCUUAUUUUGAAAAUUUUCCUUUUUUUAAUUUGAGUAAAAAUUAAUGUAAUAUAACGAGAUGUAAGUUUAAUUUAUGCAAAUAUCGUGUGAAGGCAAACAAUUAUUUCAUACAAUGUAUACUACAAUAAUAAUUGACGUAAUUAUAAUAAUAAUCACCAAAUAAUAAUAACAAUGACCAUAUUAAUUACUAUUCUAAUACUAGAAAUAUAAAAAUGAAUUAAACACUAAUAAAAAUGAUCAUCAUAAUAAUAAUGAUAAUAAUAAUGAAAUGUAUAAAUAAAGGAAUAAAUAACAAUAUUGUAACACCCUUAACCCGUAUCUGUCGCCGAAUUAGGGUUACGAGGCAUUUUCAAACAAACACAACCAUUUUUUUAAAAAAACCAAACUGAUCACAAACAUGGAAAUUAAAUCAUUUUCGCAUAGCUAUUUAUAAUUUACAAACCAAUCUAACUAACAUCAUACUCAAACCUAUACAUGCCAUAAGAUCGAGUUCAAAUUUUUAACAAAAUACCAAAAGAAGUCGAUAGUGUGAUAGACUAUGCUGAUGAUCCCCGAGCUCGUAACGCGUCGCCAAAAUCUAUAAAACAAAUGGACAAAAACAAUCAAAAUAAGCUUUUAUAGCUUAGUAAGUUUAUAGCAUAUGUAUAAUCAUUAUAUGCUUAAAAUCAAGUUACAUACAUAAUCACUAAUUGCAUAAGAAAUUUCCAAAUAUACUUAUCAUUUGCAUUUCAUUAAAUGCAUGUCUAUGAUCUUUCAAAUACAUAUGUCAAAAGCUUAUAUUUUUACUUAUCAACUACAUGAAUCAAAUGCACAUUUAUACUUCUAAUCCACAUGUGCCGAUUUCAUACAUGUAUAUUCAACAAUUUAAACCGAAUGUAUAUACACAUUUACGUAAAUAUCCGAUUGCAUAUAUAUAUAAUCAUAUGUUUAAUAAUUUUUAUAACCGAAUGUGUAUACAUCUUUAUUACCUGUAUACAUUCGAAUGCACAUAUAUACCAAUCACAUUAUAUAAUCAUUUGUAUAUAUAUAUAACAACCGCAUAUCACCAUAAGUAAUUAUAAAUUCAACAAUCGCAUAUUACCUAAUAUGCAUAUGCUUUUAUUAAUUGUAUAUACCGAAAGCAUACAAUUAUAUUUAACCAAUGCAAAACCCGAAUGUAGGUGUAUACUUACCAAGUAUGUAAAGACUGAAUGUUUAUGUAUUCAUCAAUUUCAUAUAAUCAAAAUCAUAGAUAUAUCAAUUGCAUAUUCUCACAUAAUUUGAACAGAUUCAACGGCACUUAGCCUGCUAGGUUUUAAAACCUGAUUCAGUACACCAGCUCUUAGCCUGCUAGACCUAUAGUCCGAAAUAUAUCACCGGCAUUAAGCCUGCUAGGCACAUAGCCUGAAUAACUAAGAUGCAAAGUUAAUCUUUCAUAUAAAUCUUUAUAAUACACAUAGAUCUUUCUCAAAAACUAUAUCUCGAUAAGAAUUGUUUUAUAUUCAACUCUUCAUAGCAACCUCACAUUCGAACCACAUAUACAUAUUUCAUAACAUUAAAUUCAACUCAAGAAACUCAAAUCCUAUUUUCGGUUAACAUGUAUAAUUAUAUGUAAUUAUUAACAUUAAAUUCAGCUCAAAGAAACUUGUAUCUUACAUUCUAACCUCUUAUAUAUAUUUCAUAUCAUUUCAUUCAAUUCAAAACAUUGUAUCAUUUAUUUGAACCACAUACAUACAUACAAUUUAUAUCAUUAAAUUCAACUCAAAGAAUUUGUAUUACACAUUCGAACAAUAUCAUAUAUUUAUAUAAUUUAUGCUAUUAACUUCAUCUUAUUAAACUCAAGCAUGCAUGAUAUAACAUAUACAAUAUUUGUAAAAUAAAAUUUCAGCCUACCAAUUUCAACUUGUAUAUCCGGCUAACAAUAAGAAAAUAACAAAUCUAACUCAACUUAUUAAACUUAAAACAUACAUUCGGCUAACAUGUUUAUAUAAUUCAUAAAAUCAAAUUCAGCUUAUAGAACAUAUAUAUAUUCUAAUUUAAUGACAUAUAUUUGCUAUUAGACUUACCUCGUACGAUGGAAAAUCGAAGUCGGACGAUUAUUCGACUAAUUUGGCUUUUCCCCGAUCUAACUCCUAUUUCUUUGGUUCUCGAUCUAAAUAUAUUUAAAAUAAGAUAAUUUAUUUAUUAACACAUUCAAUUUAAUCCAAAAACAAAUAAUUUGGCAAAUUACUAUUUUGCCCCUAAUAUUUACACUUUUUGCAAUUUACUCCCUAUUGCAUAAAACACAAUUUAUACAAAAUUUUCCCAUAACACACAAGGGCCGAAUAUUCAUGGUUCUCAUACAAAUCCACACAUUGCAUUUAUUUCACAUUUUAGUCCCCCAAAAAUUUAAUUUCACAAUUUAGCCCUAUUUACUCAAUUUCACUAAAAAUUCCAAAACAUAUUAAUCUAUCACAUAUCUUUCAUUUUUCAUCAUCAACUAUCACAAAGUCCAAGCAUUCAUCAAUGGCACAUUUCAAAAUCAUCAACAAUUCACAAAAUUAAAACAUGGGUUUUGAAGAACACAAAGCAACGAUCUCAAAAACGUAAAAAUUAUUAAAAACCAAACGCUUUUAUAUGACCGAAUAUAGCUAGGCUUUCUUUCUUUUUCUUUUGUUUACUUUCGGCUAAGGAAGAUGACAAUAACCUUGAAUUUUUCUUUGUUUUUAAUUAACAUAUAUUAGUUUGUUUUAUUUAUUUACCUUAUUAACCUUUAAUAAAUAAUUUAUAUUUCAUAUAACAUAAGGAUAUAAUUGUCCAUAGCCACCCACUAUCAUUUCAAAUGGUCUAAUUGACAUUUAAGACCCCAUUUUUUAAAAGACAACAACAAUUAGGUAUUUUUAGAUUUAACCCCUAAAUUUUCAUUUUACACAAUUAAACCCUUUUUAUCAAAUUGAACAUUCAAACGAUUAAAUUUCCACACGAAUUUUUCACACCUAUAACUUAACAUAUAAUAGACUCUAAAAAUAAUAUUAAAAUAUUUUUCUGAUUUAGAUUUGUGGUUCUGAAACCACUAUUCUGAUUAGGGUCAAAACCGGGUUGUUACAACUCUCCCCCCUUUAGGGAUUUUCGUCCCCGAAAAUUCUUACCGGUGAAUAGGUUUGGAUAACACUCUUUCAUCGUAUCUUCUGACUCCCAAGUUGCUUCUUCAACUCCGUGUUUAUGCCACAAUACUUUAACUAACGGAAUUUUCUUAUUUCGUAAUUCUUUGAUCUCACGAGCCAGAAUGCCAAUCGGUUCUUCUUCAUAUGACAUAUCAGAGUUAAUUGCAAUCUCCGUCGGACUAAUCACAUGUGAAGGAUCAGAUCGG
rnacentral:lncRNA from 1 species